UCGCUAUCGAAAAGAAGUGUGUAGAGAAGGAUAUAAGGUGGGUGGAGGAAGUAGCAUUAGUUCUUCUGCGUCGGCGAAGUAUGGCGAAAGUUUACGUCUGGAACAUUCUUCUCCUUUUAACCGUAUUAGCCCUUCUGAGUACAUUGGAACAAGGAGUCGAGGCAGUUCCUCUUCGAAGGAAAUUCGGAGGAGGGAAUGGCAGUGGCGCUGGUAGGAGUCGCCAAAAAGUUUCUACCACUACUCAUAGGUGUAACACCCGGCCCUACGGCCGUAGGUGAUAUACGGACAUGGACCACAACGUUAGCAUGUACUCGGCGAGAACCUUUGUACAGCGAAAUGAAAUUGAAAAGGAAA
rnacentral:lncRNA from 1 species